UACGUAGGGUGCAAGCGUUAAUCGGAAUUACUGGGCGUAAAGCGUGCGCAGGCGGUCUUGCAAGUCAGAUGUGAAAUCCCCGGGCUUAACCUGGGAAUGGCAUUGGUGACUGCACGGCUAGAGUGUGUCAGAGGGGGGUAGAAUUCCACGUGUAGCAGUGAAAUGCGUAGAGAUGUGGAGGAAUACCGAUGGCGAAGGCAGCCCCCUGGGAUAACACUGACGCUCAUGCACGAAAGCGUGGGGAGCAAACAGG
rnacentral:rRNA from 1 species